AACAACUCACCUGCCGAAUGAAGUAGCCCUGAAAAUGGAUGACGCUUAAGCGGGUAGCCGAUACUACGCCGUCUAGAAAAAUAUUUUUUAGAUGAGUAGGGGGGCGUGGUGAUCGUAUCGAAGCACUGCGUGCGAACGCGUGUGGAACGGUCACUAGUGCAGAUCUUGGUGGUAGUAGCAAAUAUUCAAGUGAGAACCUUGAAGGGCGAAGCGGGGAAGGGUUCCAUGCGAACAUUGAUUGGGCAUGGGUGAGUCGUACCUAAGCCGAGUGGCAAUUGCUUACUCACGCGGCGAAAGGGAAGCGGGUUGAAAUUCCCGCACACGGAUGUGGAAGCGGCGACGCAUUACUGGGGCGGUGACGUUGGCAGUGGCGCUGGGCAGAGUUGUCUUUUCUGUUUAACCGCCUGACGCUUGCACUGUGGAAUCCGCUUGUCGGGAGAAACAGGCAAGGCACGGGUAGAGCGCCGGGCUUUUUCCGGCGUCCAGCUCGCCACUGACGGCCCUUGAAAAACUGUCCUCAGAUAUUAAACUCCACGCCGUGGCGUACCGAUAACCGCAUCAGGUCCCCAAGGUGAACAGCCUCUGCUCGAUAUGAAAAAU
rnacentral:rRNA from 1 species